GAUGAACGCUGGCGGCGUGCCUAAUACAUGCAAGUCGAGCGAACAGAUGAGGAGCUUGCUCCUCUGACGUUAGCGGCGGACGGGUGAGUAACACGUGGAUAACCUACCUAUAAGACUGGGAUAACUUCGGGAAACCGGAGCUAAUACCGGAUAAUAUAUUGAACCGCAUGGUUCAAUAGUGAAAGACGGUUUUGCUGUCACUUAUAGAUGGAUCCGCGCCGCAUUAGCUAGUUGGUAAGGUAACGGCUUACCAAGGCAACGAUGCGUAGCCGACCUGAGAGGGUGAUCGGCCACACUGGAACUGAGACACGGUCCAGACUCCUACGGGAGGCAGCAGUAGGGAAUCUUCCGCAAUGGGCGAAAGCUUGACGGAGCAACGCCGCGUGAGUGAUGAAGGUCUUCGGAUCGUAAAACUCUGUUAUUAGGGAAGAACAAAUGUGUAAGUAACUAUGCACGUCUUGACGGUACCUAAUCAGAAAGCCACGUCUAACUACGUG
rnacentral:rRNA from 1 species